CACACAUUCCACCAUCCUUGCUCAUCUUCUGCCCCCUCCCUUUCCCUCCCACCCCUCUGCCUAUCUAGAAUUCAUCUAUACCUCCCAUGCUCUCCCUCCCUACCCCAUUAUGAGUCAGCCUCCUUAUAUCAGAGAAAACAUUCGGCAUUUGUUUUUUGGGAUUGGCUAACUUCACUUAGCAUUAUCUUCUCCAAAGCCAUCCAUUUACCUGCAAAUGCCAUGACUUUAUUCUCUUUUAUUGCUGUCUACUCCAUGAUUCUAUUUGUUGAAGCACAAUCACUGUUGUAUAGAAAAUGAUUGACUAGACCCAGCCUUGGGGAAUGGGAAAUGAAGUAAUUUUAGCUUGUAUACUUGCAAUUAGCAAUUAACAUUGUUUUUUGUCUAGGGGUGUUCGGUUAAUGAUGUAGCUAUGAUAGCUUUGCUCUCACCAAAAGACCAGUCCUCACCACACAGGACAGCCUUCCUUUCAAUAAGGAUGUCUGUGUGUCAGCAUUUGAGGUGGUCUGAUGUAGUGACAAAGUGUGACAGGGAGGCUGGGAGCUCCUUUGUGAAAUUGUACAGUGCAAUCCCUUUAUGGGUGUGUGUGAGUGACCCACACGCUUGUCUGAAUUCUGUUUCUUUUGAGUUUUCUCUGGGUCCAGUCCUCUUAUCCCUGUGCCCACUGUGCCCAAGUUCUUCUACCCCUGCAGCUGCCAGCCCAGUUGGGAGGCCAUCUGGGUAGGUUGGGCCAUUUCUGUUGUGGAGAUGAGCAGCUUUCCACAUGUCACAACUGGGGAUUUUUUCCUACUAUAGCUUCCACUGAUGAGGCUCCUUCUUUACCUACCCUAAACAUUACUCCUGCACUUCCCAAAGCACUAUUAUGUAUUCUUACUGUCUGCCUGCGCCAAUACUACUAACACAUUAAAUGAUUCUCAAAAGCUUACCAGUGUGGACUUGGUCUGUGUGUGUAAGCCAUGCUGUUAGUCUUACGUACACACAUGACCUGUUUUUAAAAUAUAAGUAUAUUCUUAAAAAUAAAUUGAUAUUACUUUGUAUGCUGUACUUUCUAUUUUAUUCUUUGUAAUCAAUUUGGUCACAGGCAAGACCCAGCCUCCUUGGGGGCAGGGCCUUGCCGUGCACCGCCUGCC
rnacentral:lncRNA from 1 species